CCUAAUACAUGCAAGUCGAACGAACUCUGGUAUUGAUUGGUGCUUGCAUCAUGAUUUACAUUUGAGUGAGUGGCGAACUGGUGAGUAACACGUGGGAAACCUGCCCAGAAGCGGGGGAUAACACCUGGAAACAGAUGCUAAUACCGCAUAACAACUUGGACCGCAUGGUCCGAGUUUGAAAGAUGGCUUCGGCUAUCACUUUUGGAUGGUCCCGCGGCGUAUUAGCUAGAUGGUGAGGUAACGGCUCACCAUGGCAAUGAUACGUAGCCGACCUGAGAGGGUAAUCGGCCACAUUGGGACUGAGACACGGCCCAAACUCCUACGGGAGGCAGCAGUAGGGAAUCUUCCACAAUGGACGAAAGUCUGAUGGAGCAACGCCGCGUGAGUGAAGAAGGGUUUCGGCUCGUAAAACUCUGUUGUUAAAGAAGAACAUAUCUGAGAGUAACUGUUCAGGUAUUGACGGUAUUUAACCAGAAAGCCACGGCUAACUACGUGCCAGCAGCCGCGGUAAUACGUAGGUGGCAAGCGUUGUCCGGAUUUAUUGGGCGUAAAGCGAGCGCAGGCGGUUUUUUAAGUCUGAUGUGAAAGCCUUCGGCUCAACCGAAGAAGUGCAUCGGAAACUGGGAAACUUGAGUGCAGAAGAGGACAGUGGAACUCCAUGUGUAGCGGUGAAAUGCGUAGAUAUAUGGAAGAACACCAGUGGCGAAGGCGGCUGUCUGGUCUGUAACUGACGCUGAGGCUCGAAAGUAUGGGUAGCAAACAGGAUUAGAUACCCUGGUAGUCCAUACCGUAAACGAUGAAUGCUAAGUGUUGGAGGGUUUCCGCCCUUCAGUGCUGCAGCUAACGCAUUAAGCAUUCCGCCUGGGGAGUACGGCCGCAAGGCUGAAACUCAAAGGAAUUGACGGGGGCCCGCACAAGCGGUGGAGCAUGUGGUUUAAUUCGAAGCUACGCGAAGAACCUUACCAGGUCUUGACAUACUAUGCAAAUCUAAGAGAUUAGACGUUCCCUUCGGGACAUGGAUACAGGUG
rnacentral:rRNA from 1 species